AGCGAACGUUAGCGGCGCGCCUAACACAUGCAAGUCGCACGAGAAACGGAGCAAUCCGCGGUACAGUGGCGCACGGGUGAGUAACACGUGGAUGACCUUCCCUGGAGUGGUGGAUAACCUGCCGAAAGGCGGGCUAAUACAGCAUGGGACCACGACGCUUUGGCGAUGUGGUGAAAGCGGGCCUCUAUAUAUAAGCUCGCGCUCCGGGACGGGUCCGCGUCCCAUCAGCUAGUUGGUGAGGUAACGGCUCACCAAGGCAACGACGGGUAGCUGGUCUGAGAGGAUGGCCAGCCACACUGGAACUGAGACACGGUCCAGACUCCUACGGGAGGCAGCAGUGGGGAAUCUGCGCAAUGGGCGAAAGCCUGACGCAGCGACGCCGCGUGGGCGAAGAAGGCCUC
rnacentral:rRNA from 1 species